rnacentral:rRNA from 1 species
AGUAAAUAGAUACCCGGGUAGUCCACGCCGUAAACGAUGUCGACUUGGAGGUUGUGCCCUUGAGGCGUGGCUUCCGAAAGCUAAACGCGUUAAAGUCGACCGCCUGGGGAGUACGGCCGCAAGGUUAAAACUCAAAUGAAUUGACGGGGGCCCGCACAAGCGGUGGAGCAUGUGGUUUAAUUCGAUGCAACGCGAAGAACCUUACCUACUCUUGACAUCCAGAGAACUUUCCAGAGAUGGAUUGGUGCCUUCGGGAACUCUGAGACAGGUGCUGCAUGGCUGUCGUCAGCUCGUGUUGUGAAAUGUUGGGUUAAGUCCCGCAACGAGCGCAACCCUUAUCUUUUGUUGCCAGCGGUUAGGCCGGGAACUCAAAGGAGACUGCCAGUGAUAAACUGGAGGAAGGUGGGGAUGACGUCAAGUCAUCAUGGCCCUUACGGGUAGGGCUACACACGUGCUACAAUGGCGCAUACAAAGAGAAGCGACCUCGCGAGAGCAAGCGGACCUCAUAAAGUGCGUCGUAGUCCGGAUUGGAGUCUGCAAC